AUUGAACGCUGGCGGCAGGCCUAACACAUGCAAGUCGAGCGGAUGAAGGGAGCUUGCUCCUGGCUUCAGCGGCGGACGGGUGAGUAAUGCCUAGGAAUCUGCCUGGCAGUGGGGGAUAACGUCCGGAAACGGGCGCUAAUACCGCAUACGUCCUGAGGGAGAAAGUGGGGGAUCUUCGGACCUCACGCUAUCAGAUGAGCCUAGGUCGGAUUAGCUAGUUGGUGGGGUAAAGGCCUACCAAGGCGACGAUCCGUAACUGGUCUGAGAGGAUGAUCAGUCACACUGGAACUGAGACACGGUCCAGACUCCUACGGGAGGCAGCAGUAGGGAAUAUUGGACAAUGGGCGAAAGCCUGAUCCAGCCAUGCCGCGUGUGUGAAGAAGGUCUUCGGAUUGUAAAGCACUUUAAGUUGGGAGGAAGGGCAGUAAGUUAAUACCUUGCUGUUUUGACGUUACCAACAGAAUAAGCACCGGCUAACUUCGUG
rnacentral:rRNA from 1 species